rnacentral:rRNA from 1 species
AUGUCGGCGUCUCCGCCGCCGCCGGAGGAGGAGGCCGUGCCUCUGGCGGGCGUCGGCGCCGUCGCCGGCAACGACAGGGUCCUCGCCGCGGCGCACCACAUCGUCAAGUCGCUCGCCACCUCCAAGAACGCCGCCGACGACAUGAUCCGCAUCCUCUCGGGCUUCGACUACCGCUUCUCCAACAUCACCUCCGACCUCGACCUCUUCCACUCGACCUCGCCCUCCCGCUCCCGCUCCCCGACCGACGCCGCCUCCUCGGAGGCCGAGGGCCUCUCCCUGUCGGAUUUCGACGAAGCGGCGCGGCUCAUCCACCUCUGGGACACCACCCCGGAGGCGCUCGUCUUCGAGGCCCCCGAGGACGACGCCGCCAACUACCUCGCGGCGGUCGACGUCGCCGUCGACCACCUCGCUGCCGGGGGCCCCGCCGCCGCCUCGGGCCGCGCCGGCGUCGCCGUGCAGCUCGCCAUGGCGCGCCUCGAGGACGAGCUCCGCCACCUCAUGCUCCGCCACGCCGUGCCGCUCGACGCCAGCGGCCUCUACUGCUCGCUCCGCCGCCUCUCGCUCGAGUCCAUGGACGACCUCGACACCUCCUCCGAGUUCGACCCCACCACCCCGCACAGCCAGGAGGGCGCGCCAGAUACCGCCCGCAGCGCCAGUCUCGUGGGGAACCCCUUCGACGACCAGCUGUUCGACCUGGUGCGGCCUGAUGCUGUCGAUGAGCUGCGCGCCAUUGCUGAGCGGAUGGGGCGCGCUGGCUACGCAAGUGAACUCGUGCAGGUUUACUGCGGCAUCCGCCGGGACCUGCUUGAUGAGUGCCUCACAGUUCUGGGCGUCGAGCGGCUCAGCAUCGACGAGGUUCAGCGUGUGGAGUGGAAGCAGCUGAAUGACAAGAUGAAGAAAUGGGUGCAUGGGGUCAAGACGGUUGUCCGUUCCCUGCUGACAGGCGAGCGCCGGCUCUGCGAUCAGGUGCUCGCGGUGUCUGAUGAGCUGCGGGACGAGUGCUUUGUUGAAUCCACCAAGGUUUGCAUAAUGCAGAUUCUUAACUUUGGGGAUGCUGUGGCUGUGUGCCCUCGUUCGCCCGAGAAGGUGUCCCGGAUACUUGAUAUGUAUGAGGCACUUGCCGAGGUAAUUCCUGAGCUCAAGGAACUGUACUAUGGGACUCCUGGGGAUGAUGUGAUCUGUGAUUUGGAGGGGGUCCUUGGGAGGCUUGGGGAUGCAGUCAAGGGUAACCUUCUUGAGUUUGGGAAGGUUCUACAGCAGGAGUCGUCAAGGCGGCCUAUGAUGGCUGGUGAGAUCCACCCAAUCACGCGUUAUGUGAUGAACUAUCUUAGGUUGUUGGUCGUUUACAGUGAUACGCUUGACAAGCUCUUGGAUGAGGAUGCUGCCGGAGAUGUUGAUCAUAAUGCUUCAAAUGGAGGUGCUGAUGAUGACGAGGAGUAUCUGAAGAGCUUGACCCCACUUGGACAUCGUUUGGUGAAGCUGAUGUCUUACUUGGAGGCCAAUUUGGAGGAAAAAUCUAAACUGUAUGAGGACGGUGCACUCCAGUGUAUAUUUUCCAUGAAUAAUACACUUUAUAUUGUCCAAAAGGUGAAGGAUUCCGAGCUUGGGAGGAUUUUAGGUGAUCAUUGGACACGGAGGCGCCGUGGAAAGAUUCGGCAAAAUUCCAAGAGCUACCUUAGGAUAUCGUGGACAAAGGUUUUGUCCUAUCUCAAGGAUGAUGGUCAUGGCAGUGGGAGUGUAAGUCUUGGGAAUUCAAGCUCGAGGGUCAAAGAGAAAUUUAAGAACUUCAACUUUGCCUUUGAUGAGAAUUACAGGAGUCAAACGCUUUGGAAGGUACCGGAUCCUCAACUACGCGAAGAGCUCAAGAUAUCUAUAUCUGAAAAUGUGAUUCCAGCAUAUCGUGCUUUUCUGGGUAGAUAUGGUAGUCUAGUGGAUAAUGGAAGAAAUUCUGGUAAAUACAUAAAGUACACCCCAGAGGACUUGGAAAAUCAACUGUCUGAUCUUUUCGAAGGGUCACUAGGGUCUGCCAACCAUUCCAGAAGAAGGUUAUAG